GAGUUUGAUCGUGGCUCCAGAUUGAACGCUGGCGGCAGGCCUAACACAUGCAAGUCGAGCGGAUGACGGGAGCUUGCUCCUUGAUUCAGCGGCGGACGGGUGAGUAAUGCCUGGGAAUCCUGCCUGGUAGUGGGGGGACAACGUUUCGAAAGGAACGCUAAUACCGCAUACGUCCUACGGGAGAAAGCAGGGGACCUUCGGGCCUUGCGCUAUCAGAUGAGCCUAGGUCGGAUUAGCUAGUUGGUGGGGUAAUGGCUCACCAAGGCGACGAUCCGUAACUGGUCUGAGAGGAUGAUCAGUCACACUGGAACUGAGACACGGUCCAGACUCCUACGGGAGGCAGCAGUGGGGAAUAUUGGACAAUGGGCGAAAGCCUGAUCCAGCCAUGCCGCGUGUGUGAAGAAGGUCUUCGGAUUGUAAAGCAC
rnacentral:rRNA from 1 species